rnacentral:snRNA from 1 species
GUGCUCGCUUUGGCAGCACAUAUACUAAAGUUGGAACAACACAGAGAAGAUUAGCAUGGCCCCUGUGCAAGGAUGACAUGCAAAUUCGUGAAGCAUUCUAUAU